AGAAGCAAUAAUGUUAAUAUGAGUAACAAGAAAAUUUUCUCCCUGCAUGAGUGUAUAUCAGAACGAAUGAUGCACUGGUAGUUAACAAAUACAGACAUAACUAGCUAACUAAAAUUCUUAAUACAACUGUUAGUCCAACACAGGCAUGCACCAGGAAGAUAAAAGAAGUAAAAGGAACUCGGC
rnacentral:rRNA from 1 species